AUGCUCGACACCGGCAGCGACCUCGUCUGGACGCAAUGCUUCUGCCAGGUCUGCUUCCCGCAGCCGUUUCCGGAGCUGGACACCUCCGCCUCGGGCACAGCCCGCGGCGUCUCCUGCUUCGACCCCCUCUGCGCGCAGGGGGGCUUAUCGCUCUCCGGGUGCGCCGUCAGCGACAACUCCUGCAUCUACACCGACUCCUACGGUGACAACUCGGUCACGACGGCGAAGCUGUACGAAGACACCUUCACCUUCCAACAGGCGCCCAACGGCAAGGCCGUCGUCGUGCCCAAUCUCCGCUUUGGUUGCAGCAUGUUCAACACCGGCAUGUUCGGAUCAAACGAGUCCGGCAUCGCCGGCUUCGGGCGUGGGGCGCCCAGCCCCGCGUUCCUGGGCACGCCGGACAACCUUCAAGCGCAGGCCACGGGGCGUCUCCAAUCCACCCCGUUGGUGCGAAACCCCGAAUCCAAUCACUACUACCUUUCGCUCAAGGGCAUCACCGUGGGCAAGACGCGGCUGCCGUUCGACGCGUCGGCGUUCACGCUCAAGGGCGACGGCUCCGGCGGCACGAUCAUCGACUCCGGCUUGGCCCUGACGAGCGUCCCGGAGGCCGUGUACCGGAGCCUCGUGGAGGAGUUCGAGUCGCAGGUGCCGCUGCCUGUCAACAAAAACAACACCGACGAGCACGAGGGCUUGUUGUGCUUCACCGCUUCGCCGAAGAAGAAGGAGACCGCCAUGCCGAAGUUGAUCCUCCACCUGGAGGGCGCGGACUGGGACCUUCAACGGGAGAACUACGUGUUGUACACCGAGGAGGACGGGCUGUGCGUGGUGAUAAGUUCCGCGGGCGAGGACAGCAGGUCGCUCAUAGGCAACUUCCAGCAGCAGAACACGCACAUCGUCUACGACCUUGAGCACAAUAUGCUGGUGUUCGUGCCCGCGCGCUGCGACAAGCUGUGA
rnacentral:rRNA from 1 species